rnacentral:rRNA from 1 species
GACGAACGCUGGCGGCGUGCCUAAUACAUGCAAGUCGAGCGAAUGGAUUAAGAGCUUGCUCUUAUGAAGUUAGCGGUGGACGGGUGAGUAACACGUGGGUAACCUGCCCAUAGGACUGGGAUAACUCCGGGAAACCGGGGCUAAUACCGGAUAACAUUUUGAACCGCAUGGUUCGAAAUUGAAAGGCGGCUUCGGCUGUCACUUAUGGAUGGACCCGCGUCGCAUUAGCUAGUUGGUGAGGUAACGGCUCACCAAGGCAACGAUGCGUAGCCGACCUGAGAGGGUGAUCGGCCACACUGGGACUGAGACACGGCCCAGACUCCUACGGGAGGCAGCAGUAGGGAAUCUUCCGCAAUGGACGAAAGUCUGACGGAGCAACGCCGCGUGAGUGAUGAAGGCUUUCGGGUCGUAAAACUCUGUUGUUAGGGAAGAACAAGUGCUAGUUGAAUAAGCUGGCACCUUGACGGUACCUAACCAGAAAGCCACGGCUAACUACGUGCCAGCCGCCGCAGUAA